AUGGUAACCAGAUGCAAGUAUCCAUCCUUUUUCUAUGAAUUACUCCCAAAAAUGCAAUUUGCAGUCCGCAACUUGAGCUAUUAUCUGUUUAUUUUUUACUUCCUAGCUAUUGAUCAGUACAUGAAUAUCGUCAUGCUAUCAUUCAGCAGCCGGAUCAGUAACUUCAUAUAUGUACUAUUUUCUGAUCAAGUAAAUUCAUAUAUGUACUCAUCUCUGAUUGGUAGCGUCAUUAUGCCGCCGCUUGAAGAUAAACAAGCAUUUACUCUUUAUUCAGUUAAUAAACUAUUGUUUGUUUGUUUUUUCUUGUGCUGA
rnacentral:rRNA from 1 species